rnacentral:rRNA from 1 species
UAAGCAAUAGUGAAAGCGUGGGGCUCAACCUCAUAUACAUUAUUUGAACUGCUCAGCUAGAGGAUGAGAGAGGUCGCUGGAAUUGCUAGUGUAGGAGUGAAAUCCGUAGAUAUUAGCAGGAACACCGAUGGCGUAGGCAGGCGACUGGCUCAUUCCUGACACUAAGGCACGAAAGCGUGGGGAGCAAACGGGAUUAGAUACCCCCGGUAGUCCACGCCGUAAACGAUGGAUGCUA